AUGGCGAUGACUACAGGGAUGUGUUUAGAUGAUGGGUUAUCACUGUUCGGGAUAGGGAUAAUCGUACUUUUGCAUGGAUACUUGUUAGUAUUUGGUUGGUGGGUGAGUAGGAAUAGGGAUGGCCGGAUGCUCGGAAUAUUCCCGCAAAACGAGGCUCUACCUGUCCGCGAAAAUCUCGCAGAUCUGGGCAUCCUGAGCGCACGCACGAUGCAAAGGCAGGCCGCGAAACGUUUUCUCGGUCUUAUUUCGUUCACCUCUCACACAAAAGGCCAACCCUAUCUCUCCCCUUUUCAUCUCUCUUUUCUCUACAGCGGCACCAAUAGAUCGGAGCACGGUAAUUGA
rnacentral:rRNA from 1 species